GGGGAAAMCCYNNGAUGCAGCAACGCCGCGUGAGUGAUGAAGGUUUUCGGAUCGUAAAGCUCUGUCUUUGGGGAAGAUAAUGACGGUACCCAAGGAGGAAGCCACGGCUAACUACGUGCCAGCAGCCGCGGUAAUACGUAGGUGGCGAGCGUUAUCCGGAUUUACUGGGCGUAAAGGGAGCGUAGGCGGAUGAUUAAGUGGGAUGUGAAAUACCCGGGCUCAACUUGGGUGCUGCAUUCCAAACUGGUUAUCUAGAGUGCAGGAGAGGAGAGUGGAAUUCCUAGUGUAGCGGUGAAAUGCGUAGAGAUUAGGAAGAACACC
rnacentral:rRNA from 1 species